GACGAACGCUGGCGGCGCGCCUAACACAUGCAAGUCGAACGAGAGAUGAGGAGCUUGCUCUUCAAAUCGAGUGGCGAACGGGUGAGUAACGCGUGAGGAACCUGCCUCAAAGAGGGGGACAACAGUUGGAAACGACUGCUAAUACCGCAUAAGCCCACGGCUCGGCAUCGAGCAGAGGGAAAAGGAGCAAUCCGCUUUGAGAUGGCCUCGCGUCCGAUUAGCUAGUUGGUGAGGUAACGGCCCACCAAGGCGACGAUCGGUAGCCGGACUGAGAGGUUGAACGGCCACAUUGGGACUGAGACACGGCCCAGACUCCUACGGGAGGCAGCAGUGGGGAAUAUUGCACAAUGGGGGAAACCCUGAUGCAGCGACGCCGCGUGGAGGAAGAAGGUCUUCGGAUUGUAAACUCCUGUUGUUGAGGAAGAUAAUGACGGUACUCAACAAGGAAGUGACGGCUAACUACGUGCCAGCAGCCGCGGUAAAACGUAGGUCACAAGCGUUGUCCGGAAUUACUGGGUGUAAAGGGAGCGCAGGCGGGAGAACAAGUUGGAAGUGAAAUCCAUGGGCUCAACCCAUGAACUGCUUUCAAAACUGUUUUUCUUGAGUAGUGCAGAGGUAGGCGGAAUUCCCGGUGUAGCGGUGGAAUGCGUAGAUAUCGGGAGGAACACCAGUGGCGAAGGCGGCCUACUGGGCACCAACUGACGCUGAGGCUCGAAAGUGUGGGUAGCAAACAGGAUUAGAUACCCUGGUAGUCCACACCGUAAA
rnacentral:rRNA from 1 species